rnacentral:rRNA from 1 species
AAAUAUUCCUGUACCGAUCAAUAGUGCGAUGUGGGGACGGAGAAGGUUAGCUCAGCCAACUGUUGGAUGUUGGUUCAAGCCUGUAGUCGUGCCUGGUAGGCAAAUCCGCCGGGCUUAGAUGAGGGGUGAUAACGAGUCUGCUUGCAGACGAAGUGAGUGAUACCCUGCUUCCAGGAAAAGCCACUAAGCUUCAGCUAUUGACGACCGUACCGCAAACCGACACUGGUGCGCGAGAUGAGUAUUCUAAGGCGCUUGAGAGAACUCAGGAGAAGGAACUCGGCAAAUUGACACCGUAACUUCGGGAGAAGGUGUGCCCUCAGUAGGUGAACCUGUACAAGGGGAGCCCAAAGGGGUUGCAAAGAAUCGGUGGCUGCGACUGUUUAUUAAAAACACAGCACUCUGCAAACACGAAAGUGGACGUAUAGGGUGUGACGCCUGCCCGGUGCUGGAAGAUUAAAUGAUGGGGUGCAAGCUCUUGAUUGAAGUCCCAGUAAACGGCGGCCGUAACAAUAACGGUCCUAAGGUAGCGAAAUUCCUUGUCGGGUAAGUUCCGACCUGCACGAAUGGCGUAACGAUGGCCACACUGUCUCCUCCUGAGACUCAGCGAAGUUGAAAUGUUUGUGAUGAUGCAAUCUCCCCGCGGAAAGACGGAAAGACCCCAUGAACCUUUACUGUAGCUUUGUAUUGGACUUUGAACGGAUCUGUGUAGGAUAGGUGGGAGGCUUUGAAGCGGUGUCGCUAGACAUCGUGGAGCCAACGUUGAAAUACCACCCUGGUGCGUUUGAGGUUCUAACCUGGAUCCCUUAUCGGGAUUGGGGACAGUGCAUGGUAGGCAGUUUGACUGGGGCGGUCUCCUCCCAAAGCGUAACGGAGGAGUUCGAAGGUACGCUAGUUACCGUCGGACAUCGUGACGAUAGUGCAAUGGCAUAAGCGUGCUUAACUGCGAGACUGACAAGUCGAGCAGAUGCGAAAGCAGGACAUAGUGAUCCGGUGGUUCUGUAUGGAAGGGCCAUCGCUCAACGGAUAAAAGGUACUCUGGGGAUAACAGGCUGAUACCGCCCAAGAGUUCAUAUCGACGGCGGUGUUUGGCACCUCGAUGUCGGCUCAUCUCAUCCUGGGGCUGUAGCCGGUCCCAAGGGUAUGGCUGUUCGCCAUUUAAAGAGGUACGUGAGCUGGGUUUAAAACGUCGUGAGACAGUUUGGUCCCUAUCUUCCGUGGGCGCUGCAGAUUUGAGGAAGCCUGCUCCUAGUACGAGAGGACCGGAGUGGACACACCUCUGGUGUACCGGUUGUCACGCCAGUGGCAUCGCCGGGUAGCUAUGUGUGGAAGAGAUAACCGCUGAAAGCAUCUAAGCGGGAAACUCGUUUCAAGAUGAGAUCUGCCGGGGCCUUGAGCCCCCUAAAGAGUCGUUCAAGACCAGGACGUUGAUAGGCUGGGUGUGGAAGCGCAGUAAUGCGUUAAGCUAACCAGUACUAAUUGCUCGUGCGGCUUGAUCA